rnacentral:rRNA from 1 species
GCUUACGGCCAUACCACGUUGAAUACACCAGUUCUCGUCCGAUCACUGAAGUUAAGCAACGCCGCAUCAGGUCUCCAAGGUGAAAAGCCUCUAGUC